CCAAGACAAGCUCCCCAUGGGGUGUCCAUGCUAUGGCUUUCACCGACCAGACGAUGCUGCCAGGAAGCUGGGAGGAAGGGGCAGGCAGGGGGGCACCCGACCUUCAACAGAUGUGAGGACAUAUGAACUCUCAGGGCAACUAUGGCCAACAGCCGUGAGCCAUGAGUCACCGCUUCCUCAGUGCAGUCCCUUGUCUUAAAAGCGCUCCCAUCAGGCCUCAUAUCCAGCGGGCAGCAGAUGCGCUCCUAUGGCACCAGGCCCAGGAAGACAGCACCAGAAGCCCCAGACCCAUCAAAAACCACAGACACCAGAAGCUGCCGCUCAUCUUAUUUUUUUACAAAAUAAAGCUCUUCCCUUCCUCCUCCAUGUUCCCUGCACUCCAGUUCCGACCCCAGAGCAGGAGGGAAGACGGGCAGGGCGCCCACUACAUGGCAUGUUCCUGCUCCUGGGGCACCACACUGCCCCGCUGUGAGGACUCCAGCCCGCCCCAGAAGCCGAGGUUUCUCCUGAGCGAGUCCGAGUCCCAGGAUUGUGAUUCGAGGCAUCCUGCCCAUCCCCAGCAGCAGAGAGCAACGGCAGGUGCGAGGAGCAGCUCCCAGGAUCUUACCUGCCAUCAAACCGAUGCUUCAAGAAGUCAAAUAAAGCUUUCUGCAUCA